CCUACGGGCGGCAGCAGUGGGGAAUAUUGCACAAUGGGGGAAACCCUGAUGCAGCGACGCCGCGUGAGUGAAGAAGUAUUUCGGUACGUAAAGCUCUAUCAGCAGGGAAGAAAAUGACGGUACCUGACUAAGAAGCCCCGGCUAACUACGUGCCAGCAGCCGCGGUAAUACGUAGGGGGCAAGCGUUAUCCGGAUUUACUGGGUGUAAAGGGAGCGUAGACGGCAGCGCAAGUCUGGAGUGAAAUCCCAUGGCUUAACCAUGGAACUGCUUUGGAAACUGUGCAGCUAGAGUGCAGGAGAGGUAAGCGGAAUUCCUAGUGUAGCGGGGAAAUGCGUAGAUAUUAGGAGGAAAACCAGUGGCGAAGGCGGCUUACUGGACUGUAACUGACGUUGAGGCUCGAAAGCGUGGGGAGCAAACAGGAUUAGAUACCCUAGUAGUC
rnacentral:rRNA from 1 species